CACGUAGGGGACGAGCGUUGUCCGGAUUCAUUGGGCGUAAAGCGCGUGUAGGCUGCUCGGAAAGUCGGAUGUGAAAGCCCUGGGCUCAACCUAGGAAGUGCAUUCGAAACUUCCGAGCUGGAGUGCUGGAGAGGAAGGCGGAAUUCUCGGUGUAGAGGUGAAAUUCGUAGAUAUCGAGAGGAACACCGGUGGCGAAGGCGGCCUUCUGGACAGCCACUGACGCUGAGACGCGAAAGCGUGGGGAGCAAACAGG
rnacentral:rRNA from 1 species